CCAGGCCUUCAUGGAUGCCCAAAAUUUUUUACUCUUUCUCUCUUACAUGGAAUGUGGUUGUGGAUCAAGUCAAAGUAGGAAUUUAUUUGGAUUUCAAAUUCUAUGAGAUAGAAUUUUAGGAAACCAAAACUCUUUCCUUAUGGCACUGAUUUUACCUAGAUUUUUUUUGAAAUUUUUAUGGCUUUUAUGAAAUAUAUUGUGCACCCUUUUCUGGUGGUCCAUGGUAGAAAAAGGAGGUGAUGCCCAAGAGUUGGGCACCCCUUGUCUUGUCCUGUUUGGAUUUUCCUUGACUAGGUAUUUGACCUAGACAAGGACUCUUCAUAUCUCAUUAUUUAAGAUGAAUUUUUUAUUAAAAUUUUUAUGAAUUAUAAAGUAUUGAGAUAAAUUUAGGAUGUGUGAAGAUCAGAGAGAAAGAGUAUUGGGGUAUAGAGAUAUAAUAG
rnacentral:lncRNA from 1 species